AUUGAACGCUGGCGGCAGGCCUAACACAUGCAAGUCGAGCGGAUGAAGGGAGCUUGCUCCUGGAUUCCGCGGCGGACGGGUGAGUAAUGCCUAGGAAUCUGCCUGGUAGUGGGGGAUAACGUCCGGAAACGGGCGCUAAUACCGCAUACGUCCUGAGGGAGAAAGUGGGGGAUCUUCGGACCUCACGCUAUCAGAUGAGCCUAGGUCGGAUUAGCUAGUUGGUGGGGUAAAGGCCUACCAAGGCGACGAUCCGUAACUGGUCUGAGAGGAUGAUCAGUCACACUGGAACUGAGACACGGUCCAGACUCCUACGGGAGGCAGCAGUGGGGAAUAUUGGGCAAUGGGCGAAAGCCUGAUCCAGCCACGCCGCGUGUGUGAAGAAGGUCUUCGGAUUGUAAAGCACUUUUAGUUGGGAGGAAGGGCAGUAAGUUAAUACCUCGCUGUUUUGACGUUACCAACAGAAUAAGCACCGGCUAACUUCGUG
rnacentral:rRNA from 1 species